CGGGGGGGGCAAGCGUUGUUCGGAAUUACUGGGCGUAAAGGGCUCGUAGGCGGCCAACUAAGUCAGACGUGAAAUCCCUCGGCUUAACCGGGGAACUGCGUCUGAUACUGGAUGGCUUGAGUUUGGGAGAGGGAUGCGGAAUUCCAGGUGUAGCGGUGAAAUGCGUAGAUAUCUGGAGGAACACCGGUGGCGAAGGCGGCAUCCUGGACCAACACUGACGCUGAGUGAGCGAAAGCCAGGGGAGCAAACGGG
rnacentral:rRNA from 1 species